rnacentral:rRNA from 1 species
AUACGGAGGAUCCGAGCGUUAUCCGGAUUUAUUGGGUUUAAAGGGUGCGCAGGCGGCCAUUUAAGUCAGCGGUUAAAUCGUGGGGCUCAACCCCAUUCUGCCGUUGAUACUGGGUGGCUUGAUUGCGGUCGAGGUUGGCGGAAUUCGUUGUGUAGCGGUGAAAUGCAUAGAUAUGACGAAGAACACCGAUUGCGUAGGCAGCAGAACAGAACGCAAAUGACGCUCAUGCACGAAAGUGCGGGGAUCGAACAGGAUUAGAUACCCUGGUAGUCCGCACAGUAAACGAUGAAUACUUGUUUUCGGCGAUAUAAUGUCGGAGGCAAAGCGAAAGCGAUAAGUAUUCCACCUGGGGAGUACGCCGGCAACGGUGAAACUCAAAGGAAUUGACGGGG